rnacentral:ncRNA from 2 species
AUCUUAUCAAGAGCAGGCGGAGGGACUAGCCCGAUGAAGCCCGGCAACCGGCGUGUAUCAGCAACGCACGGUGCUAAUUCUUGCGGAAACGUAAAGUUUCUGACAGAUGAGAG